AGCGUAUACGGUGGAUGCCCUGGCAGUCAGAGGCGAUGAAGGACGUGCUAAUCUGCGAUAAGCGUCGGUAAGGUGAUAUGAACCGUUAUAACCGGCGAUUUCCGAAUGGGGAAACCCAGUGUGAUUCGUCACACUAUCAUUAACUGAAUCCAUAGGUUAAUGAGGCGAACCGGGGGAACUGAAACAUCUAAGUACCCCGAGGAAAAGAAAUCAACCGAGAUUCCCCCAGUAGCGGCGAGCGAACGGGGAGCAGCCCAGAGCCUGAAUCAGUGUGUGUGUUAGUGGAAGCGUCUGGAAAGGCGUGCGAUACAGGGUGACAGCCCCGUACACAAAAAUGCACAUACUGUGAGCUCGAUGAGUAGGGCGGGACACGUGGUAUCCUGUCUGAAUAUGGGGGGACCAUCCUCCAAGGCUAAAUACUCCUGACUGACCGAUAGUGAACCAGUACCGUGAGGGAAAGGCGAAAAGAACCCCGGCGAGGGGAGUGAAAAAGAACCUGAAACCGUGUACGUACAAGCAGUGGGAGCACGCUUAGGCGUGUGACUGCGUACCUUUUGUAUAAUGGGUCAGCGACUUAUAUUCUGUAGCAAGGUUAACCGAAUAGGGGAGCCGAAGGGAAACCGAGUCUUAACUGGGCGUUAAGUUGCAGGGUAUAGACCCGAAACCCGGUGAUCUAGCCAUGGGCAGGUUGAAGGUUGGGUAACACUAACUGGAGGACCGAACCGACUAAUGUUGAAAAAUUAGCGGAUGACUUGUGGCUGGGGGUGAAAGGCCAAUCAAACCGGGAGAUAGCUGGUUCUCCCCGAAAGCUAUUUAGGUAGCGCCUCGUGAAUUCAUCUCCGGGGGUAGAGCACUGUUUCGGCAAGGGGGUCAUCCCGACUUACCAACCCGAUGCAAACUGCGAAUACCGGAGAAUGUUAUUACGGGAGACACACGGCGGGUGCUAACGUCCGUCGUGAAGAGGGAAACAACCCAGACCGCCAGCUAAGGUCCCAAAGUCAUGGUUAAGUGGGAAACGAUGUGGGAAGGCCCAGACAGCCAGGAUGUUGGCUUAGAAGCAGCCAUCAUUUAAAGAAAGCGUAAUAGCUCACUGGUCGAGUCGGCCUGCGCGGAAGAUGUAACGGGGCUAAACCAUGCACCGAAGCUGCGGCAGCGACGCUUAUGCGUUGUUGGGUAGGGGAGCGUUCUGUAAGCCUGUGAAGGUGUGCUGUGAGGUAUGCUGGAGGUAUCAGAAGUGCGAAUGCUGACAUAAGUAACGAUAAAGCGGGUGAAAAGCCCGCUCGCCGGAAGACCAAGGGUUCCUGUCCAACGUUAAUCGGGGCAGGGUGAGUCGACCCCUAAGGCGAGGCCGAAAGGCGUAGUCGAUGGGAAACAGGUUAAUAUUCCUGUACUUGGUGUUACUGCGAAGGGGGGACGGAGAAGGCUAUGUUGGCCGGGCGACGGUUGUCCCGGUUUAAGCGUGUAGGCUGGUUUUCCAGGCAAAUCCGGAAAAUCAAGGCCGAGGCGUGAUGACGAGGCACUACGGUGCUGAAGCAACAAAUGCCCUGCUUCCAGGAAAAGCCUCUAAGCAUCAGGUAACAUCAAAUCGUACCCCAAACCGACACAGGUGGUCAGGUAGAGAAUACCAAGGCGCUUGAGAGAACUCGGGUGAAGGAACUAGGCAAAAUGGUGCCGUAACUUCGGGAGAAGGCACGCUGAUACGUAGGUGAAGCGACUUGCUCGUGGAGCUGAAAUCAGUCGAAGAUACCAGCUGGCUGCAACUGUUUAUUAAAAACACAGCACUGUGCAAACACGAAAGUGGACGUAUACGGUGUGACGCCUGCCCGGUGCCGGAAGGUUAAUUGAUGGGGUUAGCGCAAGCGAAGCUCUUGAUCGAAGCCCCGGUAAACGGCGGCCGUAACUAUAACGGUCCUAAGGUAGCGAAAUUCCUUGUCGGGUAAGUUCCGACCUGCACGAAUGGCGUAAUGAUGGCCAGGCUGUCUCCACCCGAGACUCAGUGAAAUUGAACUCGCUGUGAAGAUGCAGUGUACCCGCGGCAAGACGGAAAGACCCCGUGAACCUUUACUAUAGCUUGACACUGAACAUUGAGCCUUGAUGUGUAGGAUAGGUGGGAGGCUUUGAAGUGUGGACGCCAGUCUGCAUGGAGCCGACCUUGAAAUACCACCCUUUAAUGUUUGAUGUUCUAACGUGGACCCGUGAUCCGGGUUGCGGACAGUGUCUGGUGGGUAGUUUGACUGGGGCGGUCUCCUCCUAAAGAGUAACGGAGGAGCACGAAGGUUGGCUAAUCCUGGUCGGACAUCAGGAGGUUAGUGCAAUGGCAUAAGCCAGCUUGACUGCGAGCGUGACGGCGCGAGCAGGUGCGAAAGCAGGUCAUAGUGAUCCGGUGGUUCUGAAUGGAAGGGCCAUCGCUCAACGGAUAAAAGGUACUCCGGGGAUAACAGGCUGAUACCGCCCAAGAGUUCAUAUCGACGGCGGUGUUUGGCACCUCGAUGUCGGCUCAUCACAUCCUGGGGCUGAAGUAGGUCCCAAGGGUAUGGCUGUUCGCCAUUUAAAGUGGUACGCGAGCUGGGUUUAGAACGUCGUGAGACAGUUCGGUCCCUAUCUGCCGUGGGCGCUGGAGAACUGAGGGGGGCUGCUCCUAGUACGAGAGGACCGGAGUGGACGCAUCACUGGUGUUCGGGUUGUCAUGCCAAUGGCACUGCCCGGUAGCUAAAUGCGGAAGAGAUAAGUGCUGAAAGCAUCUAAGCACGAAACUUGCCCCGAGAUGAGUUCU
rnacentral:rRNA from 1 species